rnacentral:rRNA from 1 species
UACGUAGGGGGCAAGCGUUGUCCGGAUUUAUUGGGCGUAAAGAGCGUGUAGGCGGCCAGACAGGUCCGUUGUGAAAACUCGAGGCUCAACCCUCGAGACGUCGGACGGAAACCGUCUGGCUAGAGUCCGGAAGAGGAGUGUGGAAUUCCUGGUGUAGCGGUGAAAUGCGUAGAUAUCGAGAGGAACACCUGCGGCGAAGGCGGGUUGCUGGGCGUGAGUGACUGACGCUGGAGCGCGAAAGCCAGGGGAGCGGAACGGGA